rnacentral:lncRNA from 1 species
UCUCUGUGAUGUGAAGACAAAAGAAGCAAGUUGCUGGGGAGAGGGAGAGAACUCGUUAGAAAGUGGCUGAUGUAGCUGGAAGAUAUCAGCCAGGUUUUGGCACACAAUCCUUUCUUCACAUCUUCAGCUCAUCAGUUGGGUUAUUGAGAAGAUCAGCUAAAAAGACCUUGGAAAAUGCCACAGACAUCACCUCUCCCAGCUGCGUCUCUCUUUCUUCUGCUUCUCCUGUUUGUCCCUGGCCAGAGUGGUGAAGAAAAUGCAUUUCUUGAACAGUCAACAGACGUGGUCAGUGUUUGGGAAGGAGACUCCGUCAGCAUAACUUGCUCAAUGUACAAUUCAGAAAAUGAACUGGGGACAUACUUGAGGACUAGAGUAUCACCAGAAAAUGUUUUAUAUGUUCCCAAGGAUAACAAACCAGCUGUCCCUUCAGCUUUUGCGAAUCGCAUCAAGUAUUCAAAGGAAGGAGCAAAAUUCACAGUAACUCUGCUCAAUGCACAGGAAUCUGAUUCAAAUUUCUACCUAUGCGUCAGGUUUAUUAAAAGAAACGGCCGUCACGUCAGGCUGGAUGGGAAGACAACCAUUGUAGUGGUGAAAGCUGCUGUGGUUCCACCUGUUAAGUUAGGAAUUAAUAAACAUGGAGCUGGAAUUGUUGAACAGUUGCCACGCAUUGUCGAUAUUCAACAAGGCCAGUCUAUCAGCAUUACCUGUGCAUUGAAUAGUUCAUAUGAAGAUGAAGAGAUCUGCUUGCUCAAGAUUCACAUGCAACCUGAAGGAGUGCUACGUGUUUCAAGUCAGAAAGCUCUAGAAAUCUUUCCUGCUUUUGCUAAUCGCUUGGAGUAUUCAAAGCAAGAGAAGAAACUAGUGAUAACUCUACACAACCUACAGCAAAGUGACAGUGACGUGUAUGUAUGUGCUACGGUGCUGAAAAAUUCCUCUCUCUUCUCAGUGAGUCAAAGAGGCACCAUGGUGCUGGUUAAAGGAGGGGAGGAGACAGCAUUCCAUAAUAGUUCCUGGGCCUACUAUGUUCUUAUCAUCAUGGCAGUGCUGCUGUUUUCUGUGCUGACGUGCUACGCCCUGUACUUUGUCCAUACGAAGAAAUAUUUCCAGAAAAGAAAAACAAAUACAGUGUAUGAAGAUAUGUCUUAUGGUUCUAGACGCAACACCUUCAUCAAACCUAACGUUUACACCAGCGACUCUUAAGCUUCUGUUGGCUGGGACCGUGUAUGGAUCAACUGUUCCCUUCCAGGUGCCUCUGAGAGCCGCCUUGGCAACUUGAUGUAGUAGCUGAACUGAAAAUGCUAUCGUCUACCUUCUUUAGUCGCAGGAAAAAUCUGCCUUAUUUCCAAAGCUGUUUUUACUUAUUUUGGUCACUUGUGAAAUAGCUUUUACUUUUCCAUGUUCAGAACAUGCAUGUACCCUGCACAUUUGUUUGCAGUGUAGUAUGGAAAGCAGUAUUUUUGGAGUGUACAUUUGGCUAGAUGCAAUAUAUGGGAUUGUUUCUGUGAUGAUAGAUAACCCUUUCAGGGAAGGUGAGAUAGUUUGAGAGGUCUCAUUUUGAACUUUCAUAA